UUUGAAUCACGAAUUUUGUAUGUGAAAAGCUCCGUCCUCACUCUUUGUCGACAUCUACUUGAGCUCCACAUCGUCAUCGAAGUGCAAGUAGAGAUGCAAACAUAUGAACUUUCAUACAAAUAGAGUGAAACUUCACACCGAUUGGUCAUAUAGUUACCACAAGACCAUCAUGAGAGUUUUGCUUAUAUUAUCUCUACAAACAACAUGAAGGAACAAAAGAGACACACAUUGAUGCCAGUGUGAGCAGACUCCUCCCUGGACCACAGCCCGUACCCCCCUCGCGUCACUCCUGUGGCGACCGAAAGAUCAUCACACCCCAUAACCUAUUACACGAGUAGUUGUUUGAUUUAUGUCUCACAUUAAACAGAUAAAAUGUUUCUGUUCACAUGAGCAAACGGCUAGAAUAAACCUCAUUAAAAUAGCAUGAGUGAUUUAUUCAAGGGCAAAUAGUAGCUAAAACAAAUACCACUGGCGGAAGAACAAGAAAUAAGGAAAUGGAGAGAUUAUACUUGUGAGUGCACGAAAGAUUAUUUCAAAGGAAGUACUUUCUUUUAGCCAAUCGCUCAAAGCAAAAGAUUAGUGCAAUGGGUAAGAAGUACACAGCUUCACAGAAUAUCUAGUUUUUGUUAAUCAUGUGCUCUACAAAUUUCUGAAAUGUGCCACUAUAAUUGUACAAAAAUCUUGCUUUUGAAAUCUGCCACUGUAAUUGUACAAAAAUCUUGCCAUUGAAAUCUGCCAAACUGUCCACAUAAGUUCUUCACUUCGGUCAUAACCCAAUUGAUGAAAAUAAGAAACCCUGCUAGUUGCAUAUCUUUUAAGGCAAGAAAAUAAUUAAUAAUUACACCUCUCUGUAGUCAGUAUUUUCAUCCAAUUGGGUUUCUGCACCAGUGUCUACUCAUUCACAAUAUACAUACAAAUUUAGAUAGCAGAACAUUGUAGAUCAGUAGGAAAUUUUCAUGGUAAAAUUCAUGUCAACAAAAAGAACAUGCAUAGAGCCAUAGUGAGAUUUGGGGCCACAAAAGUAGUAAGGAAAAGGAAGAAACAAACGAAGAUAAGGACAUUUUUGCUCGUUAGUACUCGCUGAUCCGUGCUGAAGAGAAAGACAUGAGACUGGACAGAGAAGCGCUGCUCUACGUUGUGAACACACCCAUCAGUUCAUGCACAUAAAGGGCACCAUCCUCGAGCAAAAUCAACUGAAAAAAUUGACGUCAAAAAGAGAGGAGUAUAUCUUCUAAACUCAAAUUAUAGCUACAACAAA
rnacentral:lncRNA from 1 species